GCUCCGGUGGUGUAGUCCGGUUAAGCAUAGCGGCCUCUCGAGCCGCUGAUCCCGGGUUCAAAUCCCGGCCGGAGCA
rnacentral:tRNA from 1 species